rnacentral:lncRNA from 1 species
GCUGCAGCCACUGGAGCACCAAAGCAGCCAUUAUCACAUCCCGCAAUAAAAUCUUGAGCUCACAACCAAACUAAAUAGAGUGUGGAUCCUCUAUUGUAACCCAUGCGCAUUGUCCAUCGCACAAUAGACCACUACGAAUGAGAAUGGAUUGUUCGAUAUAUACCACGUAUGACCGCGUGCAGCCAUCUAUUAUACGAUGGAUGGUGCAUGAGAUGCAUCGUAUCAUACAGUGCAUCAUGGAUAUCAUAGAAAAUCCAUGUUUAACUAGAUAAUGAUUAGUAUUUUAAUUAUAACAGCUUCAUGAUAUUUUUUUUGGAGAGAUGGGAUAAAGGAUGGC